rnacentral:rRNA from 1 species
UACGAAGGGGGCUAGCGUUGCUCGGAAUCACUGGGCGUAAAGGGUGCGUAGGCGGGUCUUUAAGUCAGGGGUGAAAUCCUGGAGCUCAACUCCAGAACUGCCUUUGAUACUGAGGAUCUUGAGUUCGGGAGAGGUGAGUGGAACUGCGAGUGUAGAGGUGAAAUUCGUAGAUAUUCGCAAGAACACCAGUGGCGAAGGCGGCUAUCUGGACCGUAACUGACGCUGAGGCGCGAAAGCGUGGGGAGCAAACAGG